GAUCCUGGCUCAGGAUGAACGCUGGCGGCGUGCCUAACACAUGCAAGUCGAGCGAGAAAGGACGAAACAGCUUGCUGUAGAGUCCCGGACAGCGGCGGACGGGUGAGUAACGCGUAGGUAAGCUGCCCCUUGCAGAAGGAUAGCCUCGGGAAACUGGGAUUAAUACUUCAUAACGCAUUAGGAUCGCAUGGUCCGGAUGCCAAAGAUUUAUCGGCAAGGGAUGCACCUGCGUCUGAUUAGAUAGUUGGUGAGGUAACGGCCCACCAAGUCAACGAUCAGUAGCCGACCUGAGAGGGUAAUCGGCCACAUUGGAACUGAGACACGGUCCAAACUCCUACGGGAGGCAGCAGUGGGGAAUAUUGCACAAUGGGCGCAAGCCUGAUGCAGCAACGCCGCGUGAGUGAAGAAGGUCUUCGGAUCGUAAAGCUCUGUCCUUGGGGAAGAAGAAGUGACGGUACCCAAGAAGAAAGCCCCGGCUAACUACGUGCC
rnacentral:rRNA from 1 species